CUGAAGCGGUGCUGGGCGCGCUCCCCUUUCCUCUCCCUCAAGCGACCUCCCCCGGCCCUCUAGCGCUGCGCUGUCUCUACGACGUAAGACUGUCCCAGCCCAGAUAUGGCUCGCGGACAGCAGAAGAUCCAGUCUCAGCAGAAAAAUGCCAAAAAGCAAGCUGGACAAAAGAAGAAACAAGGACACGACCAAAAGGCUGCUGCCAAAGCUGCCUUAAUAUAUACCUGCACUGUCUGUAGGACACAAAUGCCAGACCCUAAGACCUUCAAGCAGCACUUUGAGAGCAAGCAUCCUAAGACUCCACUUCCUCCAGAAUUGGCUGGUGUUCAGGCAUAAAGUUGUUUACAGGUGAAUUCAUGACACCUUUGACUCUUCUACUGUCUCAGACCUUAGGUAACAAACCUGCAGCUGCUUUUCUAACAAACGGUUGAUCAGCAAAAAUAAAGGGGCUACAGAAACACUCAUUUUUAUGCUGUUACCUUUUGGGCUUCAUGCAAAGACAAUUCUGUGUAAAUGUACAGUUGACUCUGAUUUGAAAAUCUGAAAAUCAGUCCAUCCUUGUUAUAAAAAAUUUUUUUACAAUUGUAAUUAUAUUGAUGUUCAUAUUGUGUAAAAUAACUCAUUUAAUAAAGUAGUACUUUGAUUUUACAACAACA